rnacentral:rRNA from 1 species
GGCGAACGGGUGAGUAACACGUGAGCAACCUGCCCCUCACUCUGGGAUAAGCGCUGGAAACGGCGUCUAAUACUGGAUACGAGACGCGACCGCAUGGUCAGUGUCUGGAAAGAUUUUUUGGUGGGGGAUGGGCUCGCGGCCUAUCAGCUUGUUGGUGAGGUAAUGGCUCACCAAGGCGUCGACGGGUAGCCGGCCUGAGAGGGUGACCGGCCACACUGGGACUGAGACACGGCCCAGACUCCUACGGGAGGCAGCAGUGGGGAAUAUUGCACAAUGGGCGGAAGCCUGAUGCAGCAACGCCGCGUGAGGGAUGACGGCCUUCGGGUUGUAAACCUCUUUUAGCAGGGAAGAAGCGAAAGUGACGGUACCUGCAGAAAAAGCACCGGCUAACUACGUGCCAGCAGCCGCGGUAAUACGUAGGGUGCAAGCGUUAUCCGGAAUUAUUGGGCGUAAAGAGCUCGUAGGCGGUUUGUCGCGUCUGCUGUGAAAUCCCGAGGCUCAACCUCGGGCCUGCAGUGGGUACGGGCAGACUAGAGUGCGGUAGGGGAGAUUGGAAUUCCUGGUGUAGCGGUGGAAUGCGCAGAUAUCAGGAGGAACACCGAUGGCGAAGGCAGAUCUCUGGGCCGUAACUGACGCUGAGGAGCGAAAGGGUGGGGAGCAAACAGGCUUAGAUACCCUGGUAGUCCACCCCGUAAACGUUGGGAACUAGUUGUGGGGUCCUUUCCACGGAUUCCGUGACGCAGCUAACGCAUUAAGUUCCCCGCCUGGGGAGUACGGCCGCAAGGCUAAAACUCAAAGGAAUUGACGGGGACCCGCACAAGCGGCGGAGCAUGCGGAUUAAUUCGAUGCAACGCGAAGAACCUUACCAAGGCUUGACAUACACGAGAACGGGCCAGAAAUGGUCAACUCUUUGGACACUCGUGAACAGGUGGUGCAUGGUUGUCGUCAGCUCGUGUCGUGAGAUGUUGGGUUAAGUCCCGCAACGAGCGCAACCCUCGUUCUAUGUUGCCAGCACGUAAUGGUGGGAACUCAUGGGAUACUGCCGGGGUCAACUCGGAGGAAGGUGGGGAUGACGUCAAAUCAUCAUGCCCCUUAUGUCUUGGGCUUCACGCAUGCUACAAUGGCCGGUACAAAGGGCUGCAAUACCGUGAGGUGGAGCGAAUCCCAAAAAGCCGGUCCCAGUUCGGAUUGAGGUCUGCAACUCGACCUCAUGAAGUCGGAGUCGCUAGUAAUCGCAGAUCAGCAACGCUGCGGUGAAUACGUUCCCGGGUCUUGUACACACCGCCCGUCAAGUCAUGAAAGUCGGUAACACCUGAAGCC